CCUACGGGCGGCAGCAGUCGAGAAUCAUUCACAAUGGGGGAAACCCUGAUGGUGCGACGCCGCGUGGGGGAAUGAAGGUCUUCGGAUUGUAAACCCCUGUCAUGUGGGAGCAAAUUAAAAAGAUAGUACCACAAGAGGAAGAGACGGCUAACUCUGCGCCAGCAGCCGCGGGAAUACAGAGGUCUCAAGCGUUGUUCGGAACCACUGGGCGUAAAGCGUGCGUAGGCUGUUUCGUAAGGCGUGUGUGAAAGGCGCGGGCUCAACCCGCGGACGGCACAUGAUACUGCGAGACUAGAGUAAUGGAGGGGGAACCGGAAUUCUCGGUGUAGCAGUGAAAUGCGUAGAUAUCGAGAGGAACACUCGUGGCGAAGGCGGGUUCCUGGACAUUAACUGACGCUGAGGCACGAAGGCCAGGGGAGCGAAAGGGAUUAGAUACCCGUGUAGUC
rnacentral:rRNA from 1 species